UGUGGUUCAUUCAUUUUUACUGAUGUAUAGUAUUCUAUUGUAUGAACAUACCUUAAUCUAUUCUUUCUGUCAAUGGGCAUUUGGAUUGUUCCCCGUUUUUGACCAUCACAAAUAGUGCUAUCAUGAACAUCCUUGUACAUAUCUCCUGAGCAUUAUGUUACUACCUAGAAGUAAAUUUCUGAGUCACAGAGUAUGCACAUGUUCUCCUUGAUAAGGCAAUGACAAAUUGUUUUCUAAAGAGUUUAGACCAGUUUACAGUGGUAUCAGCAAUAGCUAAGUAUUUAUAUAUCCUCUCAACAUUUGAUAUUGUUAUACUUUUUCAUGUUUGCUGGUCUGGUAGGUGGAAAGUGGUGUCUAUUAGUUUUUAUUUGUAGUUCCUACAUAAUUUAUUUGGUUGAGCAUCUUUUCAUGUGUUUAUUGGCUUUUAUGAUUUCCUUAUCUAUGAAGUACAUACAGUUCAUCUCUCUCUCUUUUUUUUUUUUGCGGUACACGGGCCUCUCACUGCUGUGGCCUCUCCCGUUGCGGAGCACAGGCUCCGGACGCACAGGCUCAGCGGCCAUGGCUCAUGGGCCCAGCCGCUCCGCGGCAUGUGGGAUCUUCCCGGACCGGGGCACGAACCCGUGUCCCCUGCAUCUGCUGGCAGACUCUCAACCACUGUGCUACCAGGGAAGCCCUCUCAACCCUUUUAUACUGAAAUGUGGAUGAGGAAUUGGAGAUACAUGAGUAGUGCCAAGAUAAAUGAAUGAGUGGAAGAAGAGAAGACAACAUGUUUGAAAGGCCAGAAAUCAACGAGAAUAUGGUGUGUUUGAGAAACCAACAGAAAUUCCAUGCAAUAUGUUGCUAAAAUGCGAACUUUGACUUCAAGCACUCUAUUCUGGUGCCUCAGACAGUGUCUGACCCUAGUAGGAGCUCCACAAAUAUUUGGGGAGUGAAUUGAGAAAUGCAAUAUUUCCUGCCAUAUCAAUUAACAGAGGAUGUCACAGUCAUCAGCGAUUGCAGCCACUGCCAACGGUGAGCUGAUGAGCCCUGAAGGAACUCAGGAAGGAAAAGAAUACCUGCCAUCUAGCAGCCAUCAGACUGCAGCCACUCCCUACGGUGAGCCCUGAGGAAACUCAGGAUGUGAAAACACGGGAUAAUGGCCCGAAGACAGCUGAGGUGCAUAUCAAAGGAAUGAUUUCAUCUGGAGAAUUGACAAAUGACAAUGUUGGGGCAGUGGAGGAGAGAGUACUCUAUAAAUCAUCAAAAUCAACAUACUACACAUUCUCAGUAUACUGAAAUGAAGAAUAAAAAGCUGCAAAUAGGAUUGAUUCCUUUGGACUUAUAUUGGAUUGGCUGCAACACAGAUUCUGCUGUGGGUUGAAGUCAUUUUCUACUUUGGCACUACUAAGUCCAUGGGGAAUGGUGGAGUCGUGAUAUAGCAACAAGAUUCUGGGAGCAGGCCAGCAUCUACAUCUGUUCUGAACUGUAAGUGGACUGGAAAAAUGCUUUGAAAAAAAGCCAGAAGAGGGAGGUGAAGGAAAACACAAAACAUUUACCCUCAAAAGUCCACGAAAAAUGACUCGAUCAAUUGC